GAAGUCAGUGUGAAGCAAGGCUGACAAAGGGAAGCAGCCAGUUGUACUGUGUGGAGCUUCUGCCCCCAGGAGGGGAUGGCCCAGCCUCUGCCCUGCCCACCGGGUGAAGACACCACCCAGCCAGGCCAGUCGUCAUGCCAACGGUGCAACGGCACAGCCAGCUGCCAGGGCCCGAGGCCUUCCCUCUGGAGCAGAGCUGGGGGUCAGCUGGGUCAGAGGUCACGACCCCUGCAGCCCUGCCCUGCAGGAAUGCACCAUGGAGACGUGGAGAGGGAUGGGUGUGUGAUGUGUCCAUUGGGGUAUUACUGCACUGGUGGCGUCUCCAUAUGGUGUCCAGCCGGAAGCUAUGGAGCGAAGGAGGGCCUGCAGAGAGAGAGGGACUGCUCCCCCUGUCCAGCAGGCUUCUACUGUUUGGAGGGCAGCUCUCGCAGGCCCGGCUCCCAGUUCCUGUGCCCUGUGGGGUUCUACUGUGAGGAGGGAACAGCGGUACCGCACGGGUCCCCUUGCCCCGCUGGAACCGCAGGAGGACAACUGGGCCAGACAAGUAGAGCAGCCUGCAAGAGGUGUGUGGAGGGACGAUUCUGUCCUGCAGGUUCAGUUGGACCGGGUCUGCCUUGCGCCAGGGGAAGGUAUUGCCCGGCGGGGACUCUGAGGGAGAUCUUAUGCCCCCGCGGCACCUUCACUCCCCACCAGGGGGCCUUGAGUAUAAAGGACUGCUUGCGAUGUCCAGCGGGGUUCUAUUGCCCUGAGGCCACCCGUGACCCAGUGCCCUGCCAGCCUGGCACCUUUAACCCCCUGGAUGGGCAGGACUCCGCUGAAGACUGCCGGCCCUGCUACCCGGGCAAGGCCUGCACCAGGGUGGCACUGAAGGCCCCAGACGUGGACUGCAUGCCAGGCUUCGUGUGCCCCCCAGGCACGGCACGCCCUAACCUCCCUGCCAACGCCUGCCCCCCUGGCACCCUUAGCAACCGAACCGAUCUCACGGACCGCGAACAGUGCCAGCUGUGCCCCGCGAGCUUCGCCUGCCUCAGAGGUACGGGUGGCAUCCAGAGGCCUCCGCUCUCCUGCUUCCCUGGGCACUACUGCCCCGCGGGCUCCAUGUUCCCCACACAGCACAAAUGCCCCCCGGGCACGUGGAGUGAACGCGGCGGCCUGGAGUCGGAGCGGGAGUGCCAGCCUUGCCCACGGGGGUGGUACUGCCUCUCGGGCUCAGGGGCACCGUCAGGGAGAUGCAUCGCUGGGCACUACUGCCCUGAAGGCACGAUGUUCGGUACCCAGUCUCCCUGCCCAGCGGGCACCUUCAGCAACAUGAUGGGCAACGGGCAGAAAGCUGACUGCCAGAUCUGCCCCAAGGGGUAUUACUGCAAGGAGGGCACCUCCAAACCCACUGCCUGCCCGCCGACGACGUACCGCCGGAUGAAGGGGGCCCAGAGGCCUCAGGACUGCUCCCUGUGUCCCGCCGGAUACUCCUGCCCCCAGUCCGCCACCGUCCAGCCCACAGUGUGCGGGGUGGGCAGCUACUCGGACGAGGGCUCGGUGGAGUGCCUGCCGUGUCGGCGAGGUCACUACUGCAGCAACGAGACGACCAGCGCCGAGGUCAUGCUGAGCGUCAUGGUGUGCCCCGCCGGCUUCCUCUGCUCUCAGGGGCUCGACCGGGAACCCCAGCGCUCCGCCGUCUUCUGCCCCAUCGGCUUCUACUGCCCCGGGGGGAGCAUCAACCCCAACCCCGUCCCGUGCCCCAAUGGGACGUACAGUGGGCAGCCGGGGCUGAGGGACGAGGCUGACUGUGUCACGUGCCCCGCGGGGAAGUUCUGCUUCUCUCAGGACCAGGACCAGCCCGCCACUGAGCCGACGGGUUCCUGCCCAAACGGGCACUACUGCCCUCCUGGCACAGGGCAUCCACACUCCUUCCCCUGCCCAGCGGGCUCCUUCAGGAACAACUCCCUGGGGCACGGUGGCGAGAGCUGUGUGGCGUGUCCUGCAAGGCAUUACUGUGGCACUCCAGCCACCCGUACGCCCAGCGGGUGCCCUCAGGGUUUCUAUUGCCCUGAGGGCAGUAGCACUCCUGCCCCCUGUGAAGAGGGCACCUACGGCCCUCGCCCUGUCCUGGCUGAUGCUUCAGAGUGUGCCCCUUGUGACGGGGGCAGGUACUGCAGCGGAGUGGGGCAAACUGAGCCGUCAGGGACCUGUGAGGCAGGAUUCUACUGCAGACACAGAGCCACCACAGCAACCCCUGUGGAUGGUCCGUCAGGCGGCCUGUGUCCAGCUGGCAGUUAUUGCCCCUCAGGCUCAUCCUACCCCUCCCCCUGCCCCCCCGGCACCUUCAGCAACAGUACCGGCCUCAUGCACACGCAGCAGUGUGUCAGCUGCCCCCCAG
ensembl:lncRNA